rnacentral:rRNA from 1 species
CUACCAGAAUAUACGGGAUCCCGUCCGCUCUCCCAUAGUCCAGCUGGUAAGGGGCAGAUCAGUAGUUGGGUCGGUGACGACCA